rnacentral:rRNA from 1 species
UACGUAGGGGGCAAGCGUUGUCCAGAUUUAUUGGGCGUAAAGAGCGUGUAGGCGGUUUGGUAGGUCCGUUGUGAAAACUCGAGGCUCAACCUCGAGACGCCGGCGGAAACCAUCUGGCUAGAGUCCGGAAGAGGAGAGUGGAAUUCCUGGUGUAGCGGUGAAAUGCGCAGAUAUCAGGAGGAACACCGGUGGCGAAGGCGGUUCUCUGGGCAUGUCCUGACGCUGAGGAGCGAAAGUGUGGGGAGCGAACAGG